rnacentral:misc_RNA from 1 species
GAUGAAGAACGUAGCGAAAUGCGAUACUUGGUGUGAAUUGCAGAAUCCCGUGAACCAUCGAGUCUUUGAACGCAAGUUGCGCCUCAAGCCAUUAGGUUGAGGGCACGUCUGCCUGGGCGUCACAUAUCGUUGCCUGAUGCCAGUUUCCUCGUGAUGGGUGACUGUGCAGGGCGAAUGAUGGCUUCCCGUGAGCAUUGUUGCCUCAUGGUUGGUUGAAAAUUGAGUCCUUGGUAGGGAGCGCCGUGAUAGAUGGUGGUUGAGUGACGAACGAGACCCAAUCAUGUGAGACCCCUACCGAAUUUGGCCUUCAUGACCCACAUGGGUCUUUGGAACGCUCAUGACGAGACCUCAGGUCAGGCGGGGCUACCCGCUGAGUUUAAGCAUAUCAAUAAGCGGAGGA